GAUGAACGCUGGCGGCGUGCCUAAUACAUGCAAGUCGAGCGAACAGACGAGGGGCUUCCUCCUCUGACGUUAGCGGCGGACGGGUGAGUAACACGUGGAUACCCUACCUAUAAGACUGGGAUAACUUCGGGAAACCGUAGCUAAUUCCGUAUAAUAUAUUUAACCGCAUGGUUCAAUAGUGAAAGACUGUUUUUCUGUCACUUAUAGAUGGCUCCGCGCCGCAUUAGCUAGUUGGUAAGGUAACGGCCUACCAAGGCAAGGAUGCGUAGCCGACCUGACGGGGUGAUCGGCCACACUGGAGGUGGGACAGCGUCCCGACUCCUGCGACAGGCAGCAGUAGCGAAUGUUCCGCAGUAGGCGAGAGUCUGACGGAGCGACGCCGCGUGAGUGAUGAAGGUCUUCGGAUAGUGAUGCUCUGUUAUUGGGGGAGAACAACUGUCUGCGUAGAUAUGGACGUAUUGACGGUACCUAAUCAGAAAGCACCGGCUAACUACGUG
rnacentral:rRNA from 1 species